GAGAGAGAGAGGGAAGGUAAAAGAGAGAGGGAUUGAGAGAGACAAUUAAGAAAGAGAGAGCGAGGGUAAAAAGAGAUAGGGACGGAGAGAAAGAGAGUGUUGGAGAAAGAGAGGAAAGCGUAACUUAAGCCGUAGACUUAGUUGGUUUUGUCUUGUGUAAGCAGCCACUCGGGGGCCGUUACUAAUUUAAGACCCUGUCCCAAACUGGGACUCGGAGCUCAUAAAAAAGAGGAGGGAGAACAAUUGUCAUGUGGGGGAUCAUUAGUGAUCGGCGGUAAGUGACUUGGAGGGGCUAAGCACCGUGCAGCAGAGAAGGGCUGUCACGUUCGUCAGGGCUGAGGGUCCUGGGAGUGCACUGCUUGCCAGCAGCAAGGCUUCUCCCUGGAUCAUGUUGUGGUUCAGUGAUAUGGUCUUAGCAGAUAUCAUUUUUAAAUGUUUCACAUACGCAACACAUUCUCUAUAUCUAUGUGCACCACAGCAUGGUUAAAUACCUGGUUCUGAUUGAACCGCAGAAUCAGAGUAAUGUAUGUAUUUUCAUUGUGCUGGUGGGUAACUGGUUACAGCGGUGGGAAGCAAGCUCGGCCUUGUUCCGACCCCAUCACUCAGCCGUCCUCCAUCACUUCCACUUUCUACAUCAUUUUACAUAAUGGUUCUGCCCGUCCAGAUAUAUUCCUUACGUUUAACAACACUGAAGAAAGUCUGUUGGUACACCCCCUCCCACUACUGAUGCGUUUGCGGGUUCUGUAAUGAUUUCAAAUAAUUAAAACUCGAGGACAUGGUUGCAUUGAAAAAGGAACACCUUUGACAUUCAAUUGUCCUUUUUAUGUCCCUUUCUUCACUGUAAAACAAGUAUUCCCUCCUGUUUCUUUGGUUGGAUUAUUUCCCUGUUUUGUGAAAAAUGCUGGCCGUUUCAAAUCGUUUAGUUCAUAAUAUGCUGUGCUGGAAAAACUUGAAAUGUUUUAAAUGGCAGCAGUGACCUGAGGUUCUUCUCUGCCCUUUCCUGCAUUAUGUUUUCCUGAAUCCAACCUGUCAAAAUGAGAUGGAGAGACAAGAGGAAGGCAAGCAGGAGCGUCCAGAAUACGAGAGGCCGGUGCUACACAGCAUCGUGUUGGAUCUGCUCACAUUCACCCACUGUCGGUCGUCGGCUAUAGGAGGAGAGACCUGGCAGCCAUGCAACCCGCUCCAUCAAAGUGGGUGUCGUUCUGCAGGGGUACAGCGAGGGAGAGAAGGGCACCAGUCCAACGAGAUCGCUCCUCUCAAUUUCGGGAACACUGCUUUUGGACCAUCAGCAUUUACAGUCAGAGCGGCAGAAAAUGGAACUGGUAAUGGCAACGGAUAAUGGAAAUGGAACUCAAUUUGCAUACGUACGAGAGAAUGCACAGGCUUAAGUGUUCGGAAACAUGUUAAACAUGGCUCAAGACAGACAAAUCAUGUGAUCACUGAUCUAAGAGUGAACACACACGUUAUAAGAAUGAAGCCUUACUGACAAGAGUCUUAAAUUAUUCAUUCAAUGAAUCUCUAUCCGCUUCUCCCCUCUUCUACACAUGCAUUUAAACAUCCUCAAACAAGUGCAUGAUACUUUAUAACCCUCCAGAGAGAAAGGCCACUGGUGGCAAUAAUGCAAUAUCCAAUAUUCAAAAAGUAAAAAUGAUAAACUCUGAUCUUUAUGCAUUUAAUUGUGUUUAUUUAUUGGUAUUAUUUCAGGUUAUUUGUUGGCACAAUUCAACAAUUCAGCUCAUGUUCACAUAACUAAUUAAAAAAUAUGGGUUAGAACUGAUAUCCAAUCAGUUAAUGAAACGUGCGGAAUGGGAACCGGCCCAAUUCUCAGAGCAAUCAGUACAGGAAGGCGUCAGGCGGGACAUGGUGUAGGAAAGGAAGCGUCAACAAACUCAUUCAGGCAAUCAGAGUUUGGUCUCAUGCUUUUCUGAUAUUUCAAGGAAAAAAAAGUGGAAAUAACAACCUAACAAAUACAACAUUACUGAAAGUAUAAAAUACACAUCUCAUUUUGCGUCUUUACUGCAUAAAAAUAAAUAAACAAGGAAAGCUUCAAUCAAAAGGUUCUGAUGUUAAACAUGCACGUAAAAAAAGACGGGAUAUGAUGUCCAUAAGAGUAAUGAGGCCCUAGGAGAGGUUGAGAAACAAAAACCCAUGGCUCGGAUAGAGCGCUACCAUACUGUGUCCUGCACCCACAAAGAGAGCAGGAGCCAUGUAAUUUAUCAACGCAUUGGAAAUUACUUACUAUUGUUGUCGCAGAAUGAACAGGGGAGGAGGUGUAAAAUAGGUUUAAGCAUGUAAAUGAAUCAUCAACUCAACCUGCUUACCUCUCCUGCUCUCUCUCUCUCUCUCUCUCUCUCUCUCCCUCUCUCUCUCUCUCUCUCUCUCUCUCUUUCUCUCUUGUUUCAUCAGAGGCACCUUUGAUUGCAAGGCAAAACAUUAGGGAAGAAAUGUCCUGAUUGGGCAGAAAUCGUGUGGGAGCAGUAAAACAUCUUAAUAAGAAACCUCUCUCUCUUUCUCUGUCUCUUUUUCUGUCUCUCUCUCUCUCUCUCUCUCUCUCUCUCUCUCUCUCUCUCUCUCUCUCUCUCUCUCUCUCUCUCUCUCUCUCUCUCUCUCGCUCUCUCUCGCUCUCUCAUAUAUGUAUAUAUAUAGUCUCUUGAAGACAAUCUUCAUUUCGCUCAAUCUUCAUCUUGCUGUUCAUAUUCACGUUUUGUCACUUCCCGUAUCAGAGAUAAGAUUUACAUGAAGUGUGUUCAUUUAGAGUGUUUAAUUAUUAAUCCUGCUGUCUAGAUGUGUACAUUCAAAAUGAUCACAACCCAUAUUUUCCCUGGUUAAAUAAUCGGUUGGUGAUAUGAGUGAAUAAUCAGGUAAUUGGCCAUCAUGGUCAGAAAUUAAUCCCUUGCACUUACCGAAUAUUGUGUUCAUAUUGAUGGCCCAGCAAUUCUUUGCUUCAUUUCACCCUCCACAUCAGGAGGUACCAAACAGUCAUUUGUUGUUAUUACCUGUAAUUUGUCCUGAAUUGAAAAGGUGAUGCAUUUUGUUAGAUUUCUGACUGUUGGAGCGCAACUCUAUCAUCUCCUCUAGUCUCACUCUUGACUUCAACCACCUUUCAUUGGCAUCCACCAGGUCGGGUUUUUUAGUAAAGCCCAAAGGAUAUAGAUCUUCAUAUUUUCAGUGGGACAGAAACAAGAAAGAGAACAAUGUUGUUUAACGGAGCAAGGCAGACAGAUCUCAGACUUGACAUGGCCCUAUUUUCAAAUAGGACUCAUCUAUUUUGGACACAAAAAUUUUGAAACAUCUACUGUCCGUCCCGACAUGGCUGUGUUAUUUUUGUUUAACACGUAUGUGAGACUUUGGCUCUUCACUGUGCUUUGAAGCACUGUUCCACUAUUUACCAGAAAGAUACAUGAUCCAAUACCAGAGAGAAAGGAUAAUGGUUUGAGACCCAAGUUCUGUCUGGGUUAGAGUCCUAGAAUCUGGGUUGGAGUCCCAGAGAAAGGACC